ACGUGUGCGACAGCACCUGCUCCGGACGUCAGGCUCUCUAAGGACGACGUGGUUCUUCCUUGUGAGGUUGAGGCGCCCGAGAGGCGAUCAGAGCUCAGAGCCGAUUCAUUCCUGCUUGACUUUGGGUCGGUGCCUCGUGAGCGAGCUCAUUUCCCGGGGUUGCGGGUCCUUGCCUGGGGACACGCGAGUUGGAGAGCGCGUGCACCGGUCGUUCCCUUCCCGUGCUGCCCGCGUCCGGAUCGUCGGGACCCGGUUGUCUCUAGUAUGUGGAAAGGCUCGGGCUGGGAACUUCGAGGGAGGAGUUACCCCCUCGAGAUCCGGAGGACCAGAGCGGAGAGCAGGGCCACUGAGACCCUACAGGAUAUGACUCCGAGGAUCGCGUGCUGGACACGAGUGGCUACCGAGCCCGGAGAGCUUCGCGCUGCCUCCUCCUGGUCCCUUUCCAGAGGACUCUUUUCAGUCGGGGAUGCUUAUUAAAGCUCUGGCGGGAAAGAGAGAAUCACAAUUAAAGAAAUUAGUCCUACUCUGCAACGUCGGACACUUUAAUAGUAACUGGGGAGCGAUUGCGUUCAGGGAGAUCGAGGACAAGUAUCCUGGCCAGAUCCUGACAUGUUUUCCCGGUAAGAGUUCUCUGCGGAGGCCACCUUUGGAGGACUCUGUAUAUUGAUGGAAGAGGGAACGCCGGAACCUAUCCCAAAAGUAUUGUCAUGGGAAUUAGGUGUGUGUGGGUUCCAGGAAGGGCGAGGACGGACGGCGCACUACCACAGUCCGAUGAAUGUUCUCAUCACCGACCUUUGGAGUUUUUCAGCAUGUUGGAUUUUUAAACAUGUUCAGCAGUUUGAACCAGAAGAAACCACAAGGCUCUGCUGAUUGGUCCAAGUCCUUGGAAGUGGCAAGAAGCCAUUUGAACACCACUAGAGGUUCUUUGGGGCAUUUCUCUCUAUGAAUUCACAACAAACAAUGACAGUGAAGACAAAACCCAACAACCAGCAAAGAACGGUUGGAAAAUUGAGAGUGUAAUGUUAACAGUAAAGUUUAACCUUUUAAGCUGGUGGAGGAAGUUCAGACCACACCUGAACUGGUACCUGAGAUGACAGCACUGAAUCUGAAGACAAAGAAGGAUCAAAUUAGAACUGACUAUUAUUAGUCACUACUUCAGAAAGUCUUUUUACCUUAUUUUGGUAUGUUUAGUUAUUACUAUGAUUUGUAUGACUUUUACAUGUGUUUGAAAAGUAACAGAAGCUAAAGGCCAUUGUACAACUGGGUAACAGUCCCGUUUUCGUUCUCUUGCAUUUGGUUUGCCAUUCUGUAGCUGUGACUCCAGCUUGCUUUAGUUGAGCCUUGUCAUUCUUCACUCUCUGCAAACCAUUCCACGGAUUUGUUUUUCUUCACAAAAUUAGUUUCAUUUUCUUUGUUUGAUUGAUGGUCAUUGGCUACUGAAAUAAAAUAUGCAUUUUAAGGUAAAUUGUAUGUAUUUUUUAAGAUAAAACUUUGUGUAUUUUAAAAUA
rnacentral:lncRNA from 1 species